GCUCUUGAGCCAAGCCCACAAAAAAAUACACGAAAGUUAUCACCAGAGCUAUGGAGUCUGAGUUGCGGAGUUGAGACAUUUUCAGCAGAGUCGGAGUUGCUAAACAAAAUUGCGACUCCGACUCCAAUAGCAAAACUUCCCGGUAUUGUACGUGCAUGUACAAAACAUUCAAUUAACCUUAUGUUCAUACUAAACCUCAAAGAACGUUUCAUAAACUUGUCAAAAAAGAAAUUUUUAAUUUAUCCCGUAAUAUUUUUUAAAGAAUUUGAAGAAUUUUUCAAAAAUAUUGCUUUGGAGUUGUAAUCGAAGUCGGAGUUGUGCUCAAAAAAUUUCAACAACUGGAGUCGGAGUUGGAGUUGUACUCAAAAAGUUUCAACAACUGGAGUCGGAGUCAUUACUUUUUUUUUACAACUACACACCCCUGGUUAUCAGUAACGGUUUCCAAUCUGCCUCUUUUGCCUUUGUCUGAUUCUACAGAUAAAGUUUUAGCUGAUU